UCCCACCGAGGCGAUACACGGUGGUGAGCAAGAACCCAAUGACUUCUUGUUUGCUGACCACGUACGUUAAUUAAGCUGAUGAAGGCAGCAGUGCCACCCCUACCGGAUCGGCCAGUAAAGACGAGCGUGUGGCCGAUGCAAACAACUAGCUAAUUUUUUCUUCCCUAGAUUUACCGUCAGCUUCACGGCUAGAAACUUUGUCCACGUCACUCCGAAUUCUUCUGUCCAUCCGAUCUGCUGUUGAACGCUCUAGAUCUCUUCAAUCGGAUUCUACCGGAAGCGGCUUCUCCUAAUUCUCUUCACCUUUUCGACUUCUCCUCGGUUUCUCUCCCAUGGCGGCGGCGCGGGGCGAGGGUGAGAGCGCCGCCAUCGCUCCCCAGUGAGGUCGCCACCUCCAGGCUCCUCGACCCCCUCUCCAGCCCAAAGAACGUCGUCCUGGGCGGACAACCACACACGACGGUGACGGACACCCCCGCACGACAGUGAUGACGACCUAGGGUUUCGGCGAUUCCUCGCUGGCGGCUGCGGCUCAGCUCGGGAGCCCCAUAUGCUGGCCCCUACUGCGGCUGUCCCAGCGCAGCAGCUCCUGCACGGGUGCCCCACGGCGUGGGUUUCUGGCCGGAGUCCACCGCUCGCAAUGGUUGUCACUGCUGGCCACAGGCGGAUAGUCCCGACGGUCCUCUGCACUGCACUCUGUUCAUGCACAGUUGCGCCCUUCUGCUCUGUUUGCUUGUUGGCUUCUUCAGGCAUAUACCAAGAAAUGUGACACACCAUUGGAUGUUGUCUUCCAUAAUUCAGAGAUAAGAAAGAAGAAGAACCAUGACGAUUGAUCAACAAGGGACUCAUGACGGAAUGCCUAGACAACUCAAAUAUGCUAUGUCAAUAUAUUGAAGUUCGUUGGCUAUUACCAUGGCAUGUUAUCAUGGUUUCAGAGCCUUUGUUCUACGGCACUGUGAUAGAACUUCCUAUUGUCUGCAUGGUAUGCUGGUUGAAGACGACAUACAGAUAUUAUGUUUUUGAUGUCAAAAAUAUAGUUUGGCUUUCUAGAUUUCUUCUCUUGAUUAACUCCAAUUUUCUAAUGUGAUUAUUUUGGGUUUUAUAAUUACUAGCCAGGUUGCUUGUUCUAGAAAUCAUUUGCCAUUCAUCCAAUUUCAUCAUCUAUGCUAUUGUGCUUUAUAUUUUUGGCACCACGCAGCCACAACACAUUUGUCUUUCACUGCCUAUUUACACUGUCUAAUUAUAAUGUAAUGUCCUGUAUACCAACUUUUGCUCUUUCUUUUGUAGGUUCCCUUUCUAGGUUUUCCUCCCCACCUCCGUCGUAAGAUUGUAAUUUCUUUCAUGCUGUAUUUAACUUUUCGUCCCUCCACAGUUAAACUCUCCACACCUUUAGUGUUUGAGUUAAGAUCAAGAAUUUCCAAUAUUUUUGUAUCCUUGGUUUAGUCGUAUAGAGCAACUGGUAUGGGCUGAACGCUCCAUUAUUCAUUUGCUCAUAGGCUUCGUUGAACACCCACCAUCUUCUACCUGUUUGGGCCAUAAGAGUAAUAUGAGCUUUAGAUCCUAAUAGGCUAAUUGCAAUGUAGACAAAUCCUAAAUUGGAUAUAUGCAUUCACAUGCACAGUUGCACCAAAUGCUUUUUGCUUGCCUCAUAUUUAUCUCCCAUGUAUCUGGUAUAUUUGCUAUCUUCUGAUACACGCCUUUUAGCGCCUGAUGCGAAAUGUAUGUUCUUUCGGCCUGUUUUCUUUACCCAUUCUCAUAAGGCUAAUGCAACACAUAUCAAAUCCAAAAAUGAUGCAUGAUGCAGCCCUCACAUCUUUGGACUUUGGCAGGUACAAGGUGGUCACUCAAGUGUUUCUUAUACUUUUACUGACACAUAAAAAUGAUGCCUGAUGCAGCCCCAACAUCUUCAGGCUUUGGCAGCAACAAGGUGAUCUCUCAGGUGCUUAGAUUGGUCAAACAGUUAGUGCCCUAGCUUGGAUAAGGUGUUGGCGCUAUGAAAGGUAUGUCAGAGAUUCAUCCUCCGGCGCCAACUGAUUCUCCAUGGACACAAAUGUUUGAGGCAAGCGACCAAAGCUACUGGAAUCGCAAUCAAUGUUCAUGAAACAAAUAUGUAUAUUUAUUGUAUCAAACACUUUGUACAUAAACUAAUGUGCCACUGCUACCUAAAACAUGGCACAUUGUUGAAAAACAUCAGGUACCAACCGUACCCGUGCCACCUAUAAACUAUCAUGUCAUGUACAAUUAAGAUGUUACUGCAGCCGUAAAACUCAUCUAUGUAAUAUUAGAACUACAUGUAUAAUGCUUAAUGUCUAAUCUGUCGUGUUAGAUAUUUGUCUA